rnacentral:rRNA from 1 species
GUGAACGCUGGCGGUCGGCCUCACACCUGCAAGUCGCACGGCAGCACAGUAAGAGCUUGCUCUUACGGGUGGCGAGUGGCGGACGGGUGAGGAAUACAUCGGAAUCUACUUUUUCGUGGGGGAUAACGUAGGGAAACUUACGCUAAUACCGCAUACGACCUACGGGUGAAAGCAGGGGAUCUUCGGACCUUGCGCGAUUGAAUGAGCCGAUGUCGGAUUAGCUAGUUGGCGGGGUAAAGGCCCACCAAGGCGACGAUCCGUAGCUGGUCUGAGAGGAUGAUCAGCCACACUGGAACUGAGACACGGUCCAGACUCCUACGGGAGGCAGCAGUGGGGAAUAUUGGACAAUGGGCGCAAGCCUGAUCCAGCCAUACCGCGUGGGUGAAGAAGGCCUUCGGGUUGUAAAGCCCUUUUGUUGGGAAAGAAAAGCAGCAGGUUAAUACCCCGCUGUUCUGACGGUACCCAAAGAAUAAGCACCGGCUAACUUCGUG